CCGAGCUUCUUUCGACCUUUGCAUCAUUUGGAGGUACCCGAUUGCCAUCGCAUCAACCCAUCCUUUCAUCCAUGGCCGUAGAUUUGCCUGGGGCCGCUCAGGUUUGGCGCCCCCCAUCGGGGCUCGAGCUUGGAGGUCUGAGCUUCUCGUCACCCAGAGGAAGUCAUCUUAUCUCGGACUUGCAUUGAGAGAAAGCUGGGGUUCAUGAUAAGAACCCCAAUCCCUGCUGAGAUGAGGUUCUCUACAUCUUUGAUGCUGUUUGUUUUUCAUUCGUCGCUGACGUAGUCCAUCGCUUUCCUUUUUAACUCCUCUCCCCUUU
rnacentral:lncRNA from 1 species